AUUGAACGCUGGCGGCAGGCCUAACACAUGCAAGUCGAGCGAGCGGCGGACGGGUAAGUAAUGGCUGGGAAACUGCCUGAUGGAGGGGGAUAACUACGGGAAACGGUAGCUAAUACCACAUACCAUCAGAGGUGCCCAGAUGGGAUAUGCUCGGAGGUGGGGUAACGGCUCACCAAGGCGACGAUCCCUAGCUGGCCUGAGAGGAUGACCAGCCACACUGGAACUGAGACACGGUUCAGACGCCUACGGGAGGCAGCAGUGGGGAAUAUUGCACAAUGGACGCAAGCCUGAUGCAGCCAUGCCGCGUGUGUGAAGAAUGUCUUCGGGUUGUAAAGCACUUUCAGCGGGGAUGCGUUACCCGCAGAAGAAGCACCGGCUAACUCCGUGCCAGCAGCCGCGGUAAUUC
rnacentral:rRNA from 1 species